GACGAACGCUGGCGGCGUGCUUAACACAUGCAAGUCGAACGGAAAGGCCCUGCUUUUGUGGGGUGCUCGAGUGGCGAACGGGUGAGUAACACGUGAGUAACCUGCCCUUGACUUUGGGAUAACUUCAGGAAACUGGGGCUAAUACCGGAUAGGAGCUCCUGCUGCAUGGGGGGGGUUGGAAAGUUUCGGCGGUUGGGGAUGGACUCGCGGCUUAUCAGCUUGUUGGUGGGGUAGUGGCUUACCAAGGCUUUGACGGGUAGCCGGCCUGAGAGGGUGACCGGCCACAUUGGGACUGAGAUACGGCCCAGACUCCUACGGGAGGCAGCAGUGGGGAAUAUUGCACAAUGGGCGGAAGCCUGAUGCAGCAACGCCGCGUGCGGGAUGACGGCCUUCGGGUUGUAAACCGCUGUCGCCUGUGACGAAGCGUGAGUGACGGUAAUGGGUAAAGAAGCACCGGCUAACUACGUG
rnacentral:rRNA from 1 species